CUGGAAACUCCCAACGCCAAGCCAGGCUCUCUGAGGAAGCUGAAAACACAAACUGCCUGGAGGUCAAAUCUGCCCCGGACUGGAUUUAGGAUAGGCUUGGAAAGGGAAGACCAGAAUGACAGGAAGAAAUGUCUUCCCACUGACCUCCUUGGGUUUCUUCCUCCUGCAGCUUAAGGAGUGACUGGACCACGUUACCUCCAGCCUGAAAACUCUACUGGGGCUCCUCAUGGCCUAUUUUCAGGGGAAAAAAUUUUAAACCCUAACCAGCAUUCAGGAUCUUUGCAGCUGCAACUUAUUUUCCUUUCUUGCCUCAUGAACCAGUUCACAAGAAGAAGAUGAAAGGAGAAAUAGAAAAUUUGUCUAGUAUUGGGCUUGGU